ACCAGCUCAACACUGUCCUCACCCUCAAGUAAUGUCCCAGACCCAUGUUCGAGGCUCUUCUGAGGGCCCUCAAACAGAAGAAGAAAAGGACAGUGGAGGAGGAGGAUGACCAAAUAUCUGCUGAUGGUCAGGAAAAUAAAAGAAGGUGCCAUGACAGCAGUGAGAGUGGACAUUCAGCAUUUGAGCCUGUGGGGGCCAAUGGAGUCCCUGCUGCUUUUGUGCCUAAAUAAGUGAGAAUCCAUCUAGGCCUGCACCUCUGAGGAGAGGCCUCAAUUCCCAGAGCUCAGACGGCCACUUGAAUAAGAGAUCCCACACCUCUUCUGUGAGCUCCUUGACAAGCACAUACACAUGGCAUCCCUAUUUCCAGCCACAAUGCCAUUACCAUUUCCUACAGUUCCACU